rnacentral:rRNA from 1 species
GUGCCAGCAGCCGCGGUAAUACGGAGGGUGUGAGCGUUGUCCGGAUUUAUUGGGCGUAAAGGGCUCGUAGGUGGUUGAUCGCGUCGGAAGUGUAAUCUUGGGGCUUAACCCUGAGCGUGCUUUCGAUACGGGUUGACUUGAGGAAGGUAGGGGAGAAUGGAAUUCCUGGUGGAGCGGUGGAAUGCGCAGAUAUCAGGAGGAACACCAGUGGCGAAGGCGGUUCUCUGGGCCUUUCCUGACGCUGAGGAGCGAAAGCGUGGGGAGCGAACAGGCUUAGAUACCCUGGUAGUCCACGCUGUAAACGGUGGGUACUAGGUGUGGGGUCCAUUCCACGGGUUCCGUGCCGUAGCUAACGCUUUAAGUACCCCGCCUGGGGAGUACGGCCGCAAGGCUAAAACUCAAAGGAAUUGACGGGGCCCCGCACAAGCGGCGGAGCAUGCGGAUUAAUUCGAUGCAACGCGUAGAACCUUUACCUGGGUUUGACAUGGAUCGGGAGUGCUCAGAGAUGGGUGUGCCUCUUUUGGGGUCGGUUCACAGGUGGUGCAUGGCUGUCGUCAGCUCGUGUCGUGAGAUGUUGGGUUAAGUCCCGCAACGAGCGCAACCCUUUGUUCACUGUUGCCAGCACGUUAUGUGGGACUCAGUGAGACCGCCGGGGUCAACUCGGAAGGGAGGUGGGGAUGACGUCAAGUCAUCAUGCCCCUUAUGUCAAGGCUUCACGCAUGCUACAUGCUGGACGAGAGUGCGAGCUGUCAGGGUUGAGCGAUCUCGAAAGCGUCUUCAGUCGAUUGGGGUCUGCACUCGACCUUCAUUGAAUGCGGAUCCGCUAGUAUCGCAGAUCAGA